rnacentral:rRNA from 1 species
GACGAACGCUGGCGGCGUGCUUAACACAUGCAAGUCGAACGGAAAGGCCCCUUUUGGGGUACUCGAGUGGCGAACGGGUGAGUAACACGUGAGUAACCUGCCCUUCACUUCGUGAUAACUUCAGGAAACUGGGGCUAAUACCGGAUAGGAAUCCUUGCUGCAUGGUGGGGGUUGGAAAGCUUCGGCUGUUUUGGAUGGACUCGCGGCUUAUCAGCUUGUUGGUGGGGGAGUGGUUUAUCAAGGCUUUGACGGGUAGCCGGCCUGAGAGGGCGAGCGGCAACAUUGAGACUGAGAUAGGGCCCAGACUCCUACGGGGGGCAGCAGGGGGGAAUAUUGCACAAUGGGCGGGAGCCUGAUGCAGCAACGCCGCGGGCGGGAUGACGGCCUUCGGGGUGUAAACCGCUUUCAGCAGGGGAGAAGCUUGUGGUGACGGUACCUGCAGAAGAAGCACCGGCUAACUACGUG